UGCGGAGGGUGCGAGCGUUGUCCGGAAUCACUGGGCGUAAAGGGCGCGUAGGUGGCUUUGUAAGCGGGCGGUGAAAGUCCGGGGCUCAACCCCGGAUCGGCCGUGCGGACUGCAAGGCUCGAGCACUGUAGAGGCAGGUGGAAUUCCGGGUGUAGCGGUGGAAUGCGUAGAGAUCCGGAGGAACACCAGUGGCGAAGGCGGCCUGCUGGGCAGUGGCUGACACUGAGGCGCGACAGCGUGGGGAGCAAACAGG
rnacentral:rRNA from 1 species